GAUAAAAAUAAUCCUCCCAAGAAUAAUUUUAAUUUUACCUUUUUUAAAUUUAAAUAUAAUUAUUA
rnacentral:tRNA from 1 species